GCUGCUCUUCAUUCAGCUGUUAGUGAUGCUGCGUGUCUUUGCAGUGAAGCUUGAAGAAAACAACAGAGUUAUGUUGGCAUUCAGAGGAGAUCCAGUGACGCUGACUUGUAACAUAUCUGAGAAAAAUGCAUCACAUAUCUCCUGGACAAACAGCAGAUCUGUUUUUCAAUAUGCUAUUGAGACGAAUCGCACCCAUUCAAAUUUCUCAUCGAACAAACUUAAAAUAAAUCCCGAGUUACCUAUAAAUCUGAUUAUUUUUAGUGCUCAACCUGAGGAUGAAGGACUUUAUACAUGUAGCAUAACUGACCCAGAUGGCCUACACACCAUUACAUGGAAUUUAAAAGUGUCUGAGAACCCAGAAGAAUCGAUUUCAUCAAAGUAUUUUACAUUCAUACUUCCAUCUGCAAUUGAUUCCUUCUGUGUGGCAUCACACUGGCUGUCUUCUUCUACAGAUGUUGCACCAGGACCCCGAACCAGGACCUUCAUCAUAUCAGGACCUUGAGUUUUGUUCAUUAUCAUGUUCAGCUGGGAGGAAAGGUGGUCCUUCCACAACCUCAGAGUUUUGCAGUGUACAGGACAGGCAGCACACUGAGAGACUCAGUCCAUGUGGCCAUCUUGGGAGAUGGCCACAGUGUCACAAUUCCCACCUUGAAGUGAAAGUGGAUGUCAAAGAAACACUGCAAGUGAUGUCUUUUCACUGAUUAAAAACCCCCAAACAAAAGUAUUUAUUCCCAAUUGCCAGUCUUGAUCCCAUCCACCAGGACCUCCCCUCCUGGCCACUGCCCGGCGCUUCCUGCGAGCAGUGGGUCUGCAGGAAGAUGAGCCCAAGCCCCUUUCUUCGGGCUGUGCCCAGCAGGGCCCCACGGACUAAGGCCCGGUCACCAGACGCUAUUUAACUGUUUGUAGCCUGACGCAGUUUCCUGUUUUGUUGUGUUUUUCCAAAUGAUAAUAUAAAACAUGAAAAUUGCAAUAAACAUAUUAUACUUAUUAUACAUAUUAUAUACUAUAUUAUAUGAGUGUUUAGUCUUUUUUUUCUUUUUUUUUUAGUUUUUUACUCAAAAAAUAAAGUUGAAAGACAUGAUUCUGGAAGUUAGUUUAGCAUAGAUAAGUGUUCAUUAUACCGAAUGUGAAAUUCAGCGCCCACUAGACACUCCGUACAAACUGAUAUUUUAAUAGCUAACUGACAGAUCGUUAGGUCUACUGUCAGACCUCGAUGGCACAGAGGUUCAUCAUUGUGAACAAAACCAAGACACUCCGUACGGUUCUCACUUACUAGCAGGGAAGUCACGUGUGUGUGUGUAUGUGCACGUGCACGUGACUGAGUGCAUGUAUGUGUCUCUGUAUAUGUGACUUCCUCCCACACAAUAUAUGCUUACAACUGUUUAACCACAUUUCCUAGUUAUCCAAAGGUCAUCUCCCCUCACCGUAUAUGGCUUAACUUAAUGUUUCAGCAUAUACAAGCACAGACGAGCCCCUAAAUGGCCGGGAGUGAACAUCCUUUACCAGAUAAGUAACCAGAACCUUUAGAUAGAAUGUGCCUGCAGUUAAACACUAUAACUAAUUGACUCCCCGACAGGAACAGAAAAAUCUCUAAACAUACAGUUUAAGGACAAGGUUUACAAAUUUAAGCACAACAAUGACAACUAUUAUCAAAAUCAACCUAACACAGACAAUCUUGUUCAGUCUUUUCGAUACAUUUGUGAUGGUCCUGAGUCUGAUCUCACAGCUCUCUGAGUUUUGUUUCUAACUUAGUUAUUUGAAUAUUUUGAGAUUCAUGGUUUGCUUAAUAUUUAUGAUGUUUCUUAGUUUUGUACUACUUAGUGAAUUUAGUCUUGUUUUUACUUCUGAGUUGGUUCUUCAUCUAUUGCAUUGGAAUAAUAACAUCCCAGUUUAAUUCCUCAGUGAGCUGAGUGCAGGAUUUGACCCCCUUUUCUUUAAUUUGUUAUUUUAACUGAAAGGAAGGUUUGUGUACAGGAAAUGAAUUACUGUUGUUCCAUGUGUGAAACAAAAUGAAAUGAAAUGAAAUUUCUGGUGGCAAAGAUUCAAUAAGGUUCAGGAAACAUUCCUCAGAGAAUUUGGUUCAUACUGAUGUGAAAGCGCUGCAGAUUUGUCAGCUCCAUGAUGCAACUUUCCACCACAUCCUUUUCAUUCCUGUGACUAGAAAAUGGACCCACCAGACUGUGAGGCAUCUGAACUGCCACAGGUGGUGCUACCAGUUAUUUGCCAUAUAACUGUGUUUAGUUUCUUGAAUUGUGUUUGGAUUUUGACAAAUUGUUGUUAAACUGAUUCAUUUCAUUACAUCCAUGUAAAUGAUCAUU